GAGGGAAAGGCGAAAAGAACCCCGGCGAGGGGAGUGAAAAAGAACCUGAAACCGUGUACGUACAAGCAGUGGGAGCCCCACCACUAAGCCAGUGGUGAACUCCACAUACGCAUCCUUUGCUGAGGAUGCGGUUAACGGAGCGAAAGCGACGUUCAACCGCAAAAGAAGCAGAGGGGGCUUAGUGGUGGGGUGACUGCGUACCUUUUGUAUAAUGGGUCAGCGACUUAUAUUCUGUAGCAAGGUUAACCGAAUAGGGGAGCCGGAGGGAAACCGAGUCUUAA
rnacentral:rRNA from 1 species